CAUAGCUUUUUGUUUCCUGUGGAAACAAAGGCAUAACCUCUCCCCCAAUGCAACAUAUUUCCUGACUUCCAUUCUGAAGUUAAGACAUCCUUAAAAUAUAUAGGCUAGUUUACUUCAGCAGUUUUUUCCCCACAACAAAGUCUCUAUUAUCUCUCAGCAGCUGUC